rnacentral:rRNA from 1 species
AUGGGAGCCAUGGCUGCACGGGGAUGCGCACCCACCCCACGCCGACAACAUCUCGCUGUCAUGGCCGCCGGUCGCCACCCUCGCCACCGACCUCGCCGUCUUCGUCUCAUGUCUUACUCGCCGGAUCUACGGAUGCAGCAUCUUUCGCCCAAGGUUGCAACUCCCACACUGGCGAUGGCAGCCCCGGUGGGACGGCCGCAGCUCCGUAGCGCCAGUCGCCGGUCGCAACACUCCGGCGACGAGCUCGCGAAAAAAGGACUCUCUUUCGAGUUAGCUGGUGUCAACAAAAAUGACCGCCGACAGUAG